GACGAACGCUGGCGGCGUGCUUAACACAUGCAAGUCGAACGGAAAGGCCCUGCUUUUGUGGGGUGCUCGAGUGGCGAACGGGUGCGUAACACGUGAGUAACCUGCCCUUGACUUUGGGAUAACUUCAGGAAACUGGGGCUAAUACCGGAUAGGAGCUCCUGCUCCAUUGUAGGGGUUGGAAAGUUUCGGCGGUUGGGGAUGGACUGGCGGCUUAUCAGCUUGUUGGUGGGGUAGUGGCUUACCAAGGAUUUGACGGGUAGGCGGCCUGUGAGGGUGACCGGCCACAUUGGGACUGAGGGACGGCCCAGACUGCUACGGGAGGCAGCAGGGGGGAGUAUUGCACAGUGGGCGGAAGCCUGAUGCAGCAGCGCCGCGUGCGGAAUGACGGCCUUCUGGGUGUAAAACGCUUUCGCCUGUGACGAAGCGUGAGUGACGGUAAUGAAUAAAGAAGCACCGGCUAACUACGUG
rnacentral:rRNA from 1 species